UGAGCGAGAACUUCAGUUGAUCUGGAAUCGUGGAAAGAACAGAGGACUAUCAACUUUGGCUUAUCGCACAUCUUAUUGGGAAUAGUAUCUAUGUGUUCCUUUGCGAUGAGAGCCAAAUUAAGGACUUAUAUUCUUUCCAGAUUCCAAGUUAACUGAGGUUUUCGCACA